UACGUAGGGUGCGAGCGUUAAUCGGAAUUACUGGGCGUAAAGCGUGCGUAGGCGGUUCGUUAAGUUCGUUGUGAAAGCCCCGGGCUCAACCUGGGAACUGCAAUGGAAACUGGCGGGCUUGAGUAUGGCAGAGGGGGGUGGAAUUCCGCGUGUAGCAGUGAAAUGCGUAGAUAUGCGGAGGAACACCGAUGGCGAAGGCAAUCCCCUGGGCCUGUACUGACGCUCAUGCACGAAAGCGUGGGGAGCAAACAGG
rnacentral:rRNA from 1 species